rnacentral:rRNA from 1 species
AGACCCGAAACCCGGUGAUCUAGCCAUGGGCAGGUUGAAGGUUGGGUAACACUAACUGGAGGACCGAACCGACUAAUGUUGAAAAAUUAGCGGAUGACCUGUGGCUGGGGGUGAAAGGCCAAUCAAACCGGGAGAUAGCUGGUUCUCCCCGAAAGCUAUUUAGGUAGCGCCUCGUGAAUUCAUCUCCGGGGGUAGAGCACUGUUUCGGCUAGGGGGCCAUCCCGGCUUACCAACCCGAUGCAAACUGCGAAUACCGGAGAAUGUUAUCACGGGAGACACACGGCGGGUGCUAACGUCCGUCGUGAAGAGGGAAACAACCCAGACCGCCAGCUAAGGUCCCAAAGUCAUGGUUAAGUGGGAAACGAUGUGGGAAGGCCCAGACAGCCAGGAUGUUGGCUUAGAAGCAGCCAUCAUUUAAAGAAAGCGUAAUAGCUCACUGGUCGAGUCGGCCUGCGCGGAAGAUGUAACGGGGCUAAACCAUGCACCGAAGCUGCGGCAGCGACGCUGAUGCGUUGUUGGGUAGGGGAGCGUUCUGUAAGCCUGCGAAGGUGACCUGUGAGGGUUGCUGGAGGUAUCAGAAGUGCGAAUGCUGACAUAAGUAACGAUAAAGCGGGUGAAAAGCCCGCUCGCCGGAAGACCAA